GGGGGGGGGGGGUGGCGGAUUCCCGGAAGAAGACCGUCUGACGAAUCAAGGGUUAGAUAGGAGGGAUCUGGGGGGACAAAUGUAAAUGUAAUACCAAUAAAAAAUGGAAUGAGAAGGGUACCUGCCAAUGAGAGAAGGGAAAGAUCAUAACUGACAGUGAAUCUCCUAGAUAAACGCAUAUAGCAAAUUAUGACAGACAGGCUGCAGGGGCAGGAUUUUGAAGGAUAGACAGGUAAGAAUCUGGAAUUAUCAUAACUGCCACGGAGAAAAGGCGGGAAGACAGGUGGAGGCAGAGACUAAACAUAUAAUCUUCAAAAUCUCACUACUACAAUCAGGGAGACUAAAUUUCAAACCCCCACUGCCACAGCCAAUGAAGUCAAGAGUUUCUCAGAAAAAUAUUUCUAAUAUUCUACAGAAAUCAGCAAGUUAUUGAUAUAUAGGAAUAUCUGAUAAACUAUAUACUGUAAAAAAUAUGCACAGAUAAUAGAGAUGCAAUUUAGGCUUCCAGGGAACAUUGUCCUAUAUCCCUUCUCUUAGAUUUAAUUGAGUUCCAAUCAUCAGAGUGCCUUGGUUUGAAAGGCAGGUGUAUGCCAAGAAAGGUGGAAACCUCCCUUGGAAUGGAGAGAAUGACCCCCCCCUCCCUCUAAUUUUUAUAACUUUGAAAUUAAGGGACAAAGAUACGGGAAAAGGAAUAACAUAUUUACUAGCAUGUAGUGUCCAGUCCAGUAGGCAGGGGGUGUGGGGCUACAGUGCAGCAGAAAGAAGUCAGAGCAGUGGCAAAGAGCGGGGGGCUGGGCAGUGGCAGCCCAGCUCCCAAACACAGCAGAGAGAGGCUCCCAUGAGUGGGGAAAGAAGAAGCUUGUGGAUGACAGUGUUUCCCUUGAGGCACCCGAGCAGAUGGAGAAGGAUCCCCUAUUUGGUGAGGCAGGGUGAUUACAAGGUCCUAGUACAAUGGCCGCUCUUACCAACAGAGCUACACUCAAGGUAGAAGAAAGGCAGCUGCAGACAGAAUCCCACAGUGGUGGUGAAUUCUCCCUACAGUGUCAUAGCCUCUCUCCCCUCCCAAUGCCAGGAGCUAGGCAAGAGUGCUAGGAGCUGCACCCAACCCCUCUCGCCCAGCACAAUUCUCACCUACCUCUGCCCUUCCCAGAGCAAUCUAAUCCCCAGGUUAAAAAAAAAAAAAAAGAGUAGCUGGACCUCACCCCUGAGCUGUGACCACUUCUCUUGUCUCUCAUAAGUACCCAGUUGUUACUGUCACCUAGCAACACAUAUGGGAGAAAACUUCAUGACAGAAAGAAACAAAAGGAAGAAUCUUAAACUCCAACACAGGGCUCUCCUCUUGUAGGCUUCAUGAGAAUUCUAUUCUGAUGAAUAUUCUGUUGGGAAGAAAACUUUUCAUUUGAUCACAUUACAGGUUUUUUCAUUACUGGAUCUGAUGGUCACCAGAAUGAGUUGAUUGGAGACAGCCUGGCCUGCAAUGACCAUGUACUUUGGAGUUUUCAGUUCUGAGGAAUAUGUAUCAGACAAGCUGAGUUGGGAUUGUUCAGCCUGAAAAAAGUAACCUAUGGAGACUUUAUUGCAGUGUUCCAAUAGGUGGAUAAAAUUGGCUAUCAGAGAGAAAGGAUAAGAGAAAGUGAUAAACUUUACCGAUGUAAGGGCAUGCAUUUCCAUGACUAUGAAUAAAAGGUGGAAAUGGCAGGAAGGGCAACAGUUUGCUAAAUCUUGAGCUGGAAGAUGAGAAGAUCUUGUGUGGUGAAGAAUAACCUUGGGAGAUAGGGGGAUAACAUGCUGAAUAUAGAGGAGAACAUUCGUAAAAUAUCUUUUGCAUUAUAAAUAAAGCCUGGAGGCUGUUGAAUGAAUGUCAAACUCAAUAUCUCUUCAAAGUGCUAGUUGUGCAGUAUUUCCCCUUUGAAUCGAAUGA